UACGGAGGGGGCUAGCGUUGUUCGGAAUUACUAGGCGUAAAGCGCACGUAGGCGGCUUUGUAAGUUAGAGGUGAAAGCCCGGGGCUCAACUCCGGAACUGCCUUUAAGACUGCAUCGCUUGAAUCCAGGAGAGGUGAGUGGAAUUCCGAGUGUAGAGGUGAAAUUCGUAGAUAUUCGGAAGAACACCAGUGGCGAAGGCGGCUCACUGGACUGGUAUUGACGCUGAGGUGCGAAAGCGUGGGGAGCAAACAGG
rnacentral:rRNA from 1 species